rnacentral:rRNA from 1 species
GGGUUGUGAGGUUAAGCGACUAAGCGUACACGGUGGAUGCCCUGGCAGUCAGAGGCGAUGAAGGACGUGCUAAUCUGCGAAAAGCGCCGGCGAGGUGAUAUGAACCUUUGACCCGGCGAUGUCCGAAUGGGGAAACCCAGUGCAAUUCGUUGCACUAUCGUUAACUGAAUACAUAGGUUAACGAGGCGAACCGGGGGAACUGAAACAUCUAAGUACCCCGAGGAAAAGAAAUCAACCGAGAUUCCCCCAGUAGCGGCGAGCGAACGGGGAGCAGCCCAGAGUCUGAAUCAGCUUGUGUGUUAGUGGAAGCGUCUGGAAAGUCGCACGGUACAGGGUGACAGUCCCGUACACGAAAGCACACAGGUUGUGAACUCGAAGAGUAGGGCGGGACACGUGGUAUCCUGUCUGAAUAUGGGGGGACCAUCCUCCAAGGCUAAAUACUCCUGACUGACCGAUAGUGAACCAGUACCGUGAGGGAAAGGCGAAAAGAACCCCGGCGAGGGGAGUGAAAAAGAACCUGAAACCGUGUACGUACAAGCAGUGGGAGCACCUUCGUGGUGUGACUGCGUACCUUUUGUAUAAUGGGUCAGCGACUUAUAUUCUGUAGCAAGGUUAACCGUAUAGGGGAGCCGAAGGGAAACCGAGUCUUAACUGGGCGUUAAGUUGCAGGGUAUAGACCCGAAACCCGGUGAUCUAGCCAUGGGCAGGUUGAAGGUUGGGUAACACUAACUGGAGGACCGAACCGACUAAUGUUGAAAAAUUAGCGGAUGACUUGUGGCUGGGGGUGAAAGGCCAAUCAAACCGGGAGAUAGCUGGUUCUCCCCGAAAGCUAUUUAGGUAGCGCCUCGUGAACUCAUCUUCGGGGGUAGAGCACUGUUUCGGCUAGGGGGCCAUCCCGGCUUACCAACCCGAUGCAAACUACGAAUACCGAAGAAUGUUAUCACGGGAGACACACGGCGGGUGCUAACGUCCGUCGUGAAGAGGGAAACAACCCAGACCGCCAGCUAAGGUCCCAAAGUCAUGGUUAAGUGGGAAACGAUGUGGGAAGGCACAGACAGCCAGGAUGUUGGCUUAGAAGCAGCCAUCAUUUAAAGAAAGCGUAAUAGCUCACUGGUCGAGUCGGCCUGCGCGGAAGAUGUAACGGGGCUAAACCAUGCACCGAAGCUGCGGCAGCGACGCUUAGGCGUUGUUGGGUAGGGGAGCGUUCUGUAAGCCGUUGAAGGUGUCCUGUGAGGGGUGCUGGAGGUAUCAGAAGUGCGAAUGCUGACAUAAGUAACGAUAAAGCGGGUGAAAAGCCCGCUCGCCGGAAGACCAAGGGUUCCUGUCCAACGUUAAUCGGGGCAGGGUGAGUCGACCCCUAAGGCGAGGCCGAAAGGCGUAGUCGAUGGGAAACAGGUUAAUAUUCCUGUACUUGGUGUUACUGCGAAGGGGGGACGGAGAAGGCUAUGUUAGCCGGGCGACGGUUGUCCCGGUUUAAGCAUGUAGGCGGAGGUUCCAGGUAAAUCCGGUACCUUUUAACGCUGAGGUGUGAUGACGAGGCACUACGGUGCUGAAGUAACAAAUGCCCUGCUUCCAGGAAAAGCCUCUAAGCAUCAGGUAACAUCAAAUCGUACCCCAAACCGACACAGGUGGUCAGGUAGAGAAUACCAAGGCGCUUGAGAGAACUCGGGUGAAGGAACUAGGCAAAAUGGUGCCGUAACUUCGGGAGAAGGCACGCUGAUAUGUAGGUGAAGCCCCUGCGGGUGGAGCUGAAAUCAGUCGAAGAUACCAGCUGGCUGCAACUGUUUAUUAAAAACACAGCACUGUGCAAACACGAAAGUGGACGUAUACGGUGUGACGCCUGCCCGGUGCCGGAAGGUUAAUUGAUGGGGUUAGCGGCAACGCGAAGCUCUUGAUCGAAGCCCCGGUAAACGGCGGCCGUAACUAUAACGGUCCUAAGGUAGCGAAAUUCCUUGUCGGGUAAGUUCCGACCUGCACGAAUGGCGUAAUGAUGGCCAGGCUGUCUCCACCCGAGACUCAGUGAAAUUGAACUCGCUGUGAAGAUGCAGUGUACCCGCGGCAAGACGGAAAGACCCCGUGAACCUUUACUAUAGCUUGACACUGAACACUGGUCCUUGAUGUGUAGGAUAGGUGGGAGGCUUUGAAGCGUGGACGCCAGUCUGCGUGGAGCCAACCUUGAAAUACCACCCUUUAAUGGCUGGUGUUCUAACGUAGACCCGUAAUCCGGGUUGCGGACAGUGUCUGGUGGGUAGUUUGACUGGGGCGGUCUCCUCCCAAAGAGUAACGGAGGAGCACGAAGGUUAGCUAAUCCUGGUCGGACAUCAGGAGGUUAGUGCAAUGGCAUAAGCUAGCUUGACUGCGAGAGUGACGGCUCGAGCAGGUGCGAAAGCAGGUCAUAGUGAUCCGGUGGUUCUGAAUGGAAGGGCCAUCGCUCAACGGAUAAAAGGUACUCCGGGGAUAACAGGCUGAUACCGCCCAAGAGUUCAUAUCGACGGCGGUGUUUGGCACCUCGAUGUCGGCUCAUCACAUCCUGGGGCUGAAGUAGGUCCCAAGGGUAUGGCUGUUCGCCAUUUAAAGUGGUACGCGAGCUGGGUUUAGAACGUCGUGAGACAGUUCGGUCCCUAUCUGCCGUGGGCGCUGGAGAAUUGAGGGGGGCUGCUCCUAGUACGAGAGGACCGGAGUGGACGCAUCACUGGUGUUCGGGUUGUCAUGCCAAUGGCACUGCCCGGUAGCUAAAUGCGGAAAAGAUAAGUGCUGAAAGCAUCUAAGCACGAAACUUGCCCCGAGAUGAGUUCUCCCUGACCCUUUAAGGGUCCUGAAGGAACGUUGAAGACUACGACGUUGAUAGGUCGGGUGUGUAAGCGCAGCGAUGCGUUGAGCUAACCGAUACUAAUGAACCGUGAGGCUUAACCUUACAACGCCGAAGCUGUU